rfam:Desulfofustis glycolicus DSM 9705 genome assembly, contig: EJ46DRAFT_scaffold00014.14
UAAGACAAAGCCAAACCCGCCGCGAGACGGGGACGGAAAGCCACGGAUCUUCUGAGAAAGCCGGGCCGCCUGCA